CCUCGGGUUGGCCGUUUUCGGCCGAAUUCGGCCACACUUGCAUCGGUCCUUGCGAUAAAACAACCUUAGGGCCCUCGGGGGGCCAAAAAAUUACGAAAAAUCGAAGCUUACCGGCGGCGGUGCUCUCGGAUGCGGCAGCUCUCCGGCGAGGUUCGUGUUUUGGUGAUUUGGCUCCGAUCAACCUGUAGAGAAAAGAAUGGUGAUCACGGUGAUAUAAAAAUUGUAUCAAACGGAGGCCGGGAAGGGCCUCAUCAGAGGUAAAAACUGAGGAGGGGUGCGGCGGCGCCGCAGGGUUUCGGCCGUGUUUUCCGGCCGUUUGGGCGG
rnacentral:lncRNA from 1 species